ACGAACGCUGGCGGCGUGCCUAACACAUGCAAGUCGAACGGGGUUAUUGGUGUAGCAAUACACUAAUAAUUUAGUGGCGAACGGGUGAGUAACACGUAGGCAACCUACCUCAAGGCGGGGGACAACCCCGGGAAACCGGGGCUAAUACCGCAUAAGACCACGGACUGGGAUGUUUGUGGUAAAAGCAGCAAUGCACCUUGGGAUGGGCCUGCGGCCUAUCAGGUAGUUGGCGGGGUAACGGCCCACCAAGCCUACGACGGGUAGCCGGUCUGAGAGGAUGGACGGCCACACUGGAACUGAGACACGGUCCAGACUCCUACGGGAGGCAGCAGUGGGGAAUUUUGCGCAAUGGGGGAAACCCUGACGCAGCGACGCCGCGUGGAGGAUGAAGGCCUUCGGGUUGUAAACUCCUUUUCUCGGGGAAAAUGGUGAUGGUACCCGAGGAAUAAGCCACGGCUAACUCUGU
rnacentral:rRNA from 1 species